UUGCAUAGCAAAUGUUUUAUAAUUUCUUGGGCAACAAUGUAGUUUACAUUUAAUGACAAUACGAGCAAUCAAGCAGUUGAGUUUUGCUAUGUACUCAUAUUCAUACUUACAUAUCCAACUUUAUUUAAAGAGCUGAUUUAAAAAAAAAAAGAAAAACCUUUAAAAUGUAUUCCGCUACCCCUUUAAUAAAUGUACCAUGCAAAAAUGCAUUUGGAUUGUUUUGCAUUCCAAGAGAUAAAAAGAAACUUGGCUCCAAACAAGCACAAAAAAAAAAAAUAGGCUACAUGUAGGCAAAAAUUUUUAGGCUACAUAAGCAGUCAAGCCAUUGCAUUUAAUUUGGCUCGAUAAGCAUGACAAUUCCAAUCUAGAAUGAGCAACUUCUGUAAUGAAACUAAUGCCAAUAGCAGUAAUUGUGUUGACAUUUGGAGCUGUUUACUUGAUUCUGAAUCAGUUCCUUUUUUUUUUACAUCUAGGAAAGAUGCACCCGCUGAUGCCCAGAGCCUCAGCCUAGCACUGAAAAGCUGUGCUUUUUCAUAAAUAGCAAAUUCUCCACCAUGGAUAAACAGAGAGGGAGCUAAGAGUAAGCCCUGGAUUAAUCCUCUCUGCCAAACAGCAUGGACUUCUCAGCUGCGAUGCGACGGCCUGCUCUUGUCACUCCUUGGAGAGGAAGCGCGUGAAUACAGAAAAAAAAAAAAAAACUAGAAAAUAAUAAGCCAGAGUCAUUCUGUCCAAGAUGUGGGGAGAGGAUCAGUCACAUGGCUGCUUCUUUAAAAAAAAAAAAAAAAAAAUCAUGUGAGAUGACAGCCUGUGCUGGGGCUUUCCACUCAUGGAUGCCUCCGAGGAGCUUUCGGCCUGCCUACACAAUGAAAAGAGACACAUACCUGUGGGCUGAGCUUUAUCGGCACUACCUAACCAGGCAUGUGUCUGUUAAAUCCGCUUUGGAAUAUGUGCUCACAAGAUUAGACAUCUCACCUGAGAUGGAAGGACAUGGCACUGGUGAAAGGAGAAGCAGGGAGGAAAAGAAAUAGAGAACAAUGUCAGGUUGGAUAAAUAUAAAUGUAGGAAGGCUGGGUGAAACUCAGUGGAGAGGAAGACCCACUUAUGUUAUUUACACCAAAAUGACAUUCACAUUGCUGGAACCUCACAGGUAUGAUGGCAUAUAUUAUAUUUUAUUAGUUUAUCCUUUACGCUAUUGGUUUAUAGUUUUGCUCAGGGCUGAAUGUGGCAUAAUUUGUUGUUUAUGUUGAAUUAUAAUAUUGCAAAGCAUUCUGCAACAUUAACACAUCAUUUUUUAAACUUACUUCGCAAAAGGAAAGUAGCAGGCACUAAAAACAUCAAACAUCACAAAAUAAAACAAAGACAAUAGAUCUUUGCA
ensembl:lncRNA